GAUGAACGCUAGCGGCAGGCCUAAUACAUGCAAGUCGAACGGUGUCUUCGGACAUAGUGGCGCACGGGUGCGUAGCACGUAUGCAACCUACCUUACAUUGGGGGAUAGCCUUUCGAAAGGGAGAUUAAUACCGCAUAAGACAGUAGCUGGGCAUCCAGCAGCUGUUAAAGAUUUAUCGAUGUAAGCUGGGCAUGCGUCCAAUUAGCUAGUUGGUGAGGUAACGGCUCACCAAGGCAAUGAUUGGUAGGGGAACUGAGAGGUCAAUCCCCCGCACUGGCACUGAGAUACGGGCCAGACUCCUACGGGAGGCAGCAGUAGGGAAUAUUGGGCAAUGGACGCAAGUCUGACCCAGCCAUGCCGCGUGCAGGAUGAAGGCGUUAUGCGUUGUAAACUGCUUUUAUACAGGAAGAAACGACUCUUGCGAGAGGCAUUGACGGUACUGUAUGAAUAAGCACCGGCUAACUCCGUGCCAGCCGCCGCAGUAAAAC
rnacentral:rRNA from 1 species